AGAACAGAGAUCAACUCAGCCUCUCUUCAUCCAAAUGGACACAGCAGUCAUCAGAGAAGUGCAUCUGCCGGUCCUUCCACAAGAAGCCCGGAACCUCAGGUGGGACAGCAGCUGGCCAAGAUUCUCUACAGUCAGGCCGACAAGUUCCUCCAGCAGAUGCAGACUUUUGAGGAUCUCCUAAAGAGCGAAAAACUCAAACCUUUUGAACAGAUGAAGGGCCUCUCACAGCUUGCUGCAGGGCUCGAUUCUUUAGAAAGGGGCUACCUGUUAGCGAGGGAUGAACACAAACUCCUGCAGCAGCGAGACGUGGAAAUCAACCACUUUGACCCAGAACGG